GACAGCCAGGAUGUUGGCUUAGAAGCAGCCAUCAUUUAAAGAAAGCGUAAUAGCUCACUGGUCGAGUCGGCCUGCGCGGAAGAUGUAACGGGGCUAAACCAUGCACCGAAGCUGCGGCAGCGACGCUGAUGCGUUGUUGGGUAGGGGAGCGUUCUGUAAGCCUGCGAAGGUGUGCUGUGAGGCAUGCUGGAGGUAUCAGAAGUGCGAAUGCUGACAUAAGUAACGAUAAAGCGGGUGAAAAGCCCGCUCGCCGGAAGACCAAGGGUUCCUGUCCAACGUUAAUCGGGGCAGGGUGAGUCGACCCCUAAGGCGAGGCCGAAAGGCGUAGUCGAUGGGAAACAGGUUAAUAUUCCUGUACUUGGUGUUACUGCGAAGGGGGGACGGAGAAGGCUAUGUUGGCCGGGCGACGGUUGUCCCGGUUUAAGCGUGUAGGCUGGUUUUCCAGGCAAAUCCGGAAAAUCAAGGCUGAGGCGUGAUGACGAGGCACUACGGUGCUGAAGCAACAAAUGCCCUGCUUCCAGGAAAAGCCUCUAAGCAUCAGGUAACAUCAAAUCGUACCCCAAACCGACACAGGUGGUCAGGUAGAGAAUACCAAGGCGCUUGAGAGAACUCGGGUGAAGGAACUAGGCAAAAUGGUGCCGUAACUUCGGGAGAAGGCACGCUGAUAUGUAGGUGAAGUGAUUUACUCAUGGAGCUGAAAUCAGUCGAAGAUACCAGCUGGCUGCAACUGUUUAUUAAAAACACAGCACUGUGCAAACACGAAAGUGGACGUAUACGGUGUGACGCCUGCCCGGUGCCGGAAGGUUAAUUGAUGGGGU
rnacentral:rRNA from 1 species